GACGAACGCUGGCGGCGUGCUUAACACAUGCAAGUCGAACGGAAAGGCCCUGCUUUUGUGGGGUGCUCGAGUGGCGAACGGGUGAGUAACACGUGAGUAACCUGCCCUUGACUUUGGGAUAACUUCAGGAAACUGGGGCUAAUACCGGAUAGGAGCUCCUGCUGCAUGGUGGGGGUUGGAAAGUUUCGGCGGUUGGGGAUGGACUCGCGGCUUAUCAGCUUGUUGGUGGGGUAGUGGCUUACCCAGGCUUUGACGGGUAGCCGGCCUGAGAGGGUGACCGGCCACGUUGGGACUGAGAGACGGCCCAGACUCCUACGGGAGGCAGCAGUGGGGAAUAUUGCACAAUGGGCGGAAGCCUGAUGCAGCAACGCCGCGUGCGGGAUGACGGCCUUCGGGUUGUAAACCGCUUUCGCCUGUGACGAAGCGUGAGUGACGGUAAUGUGUAAAGAAGCACCGGCUAACUACGUG
rnacentral:rRNA from 1 species